rnacentral:rRNA from 1 species
GAUGAACGCUGGCGGCGUGCCUAAUACAUGCAAGUCGAGCGAACAGACGAGGAGCUUGCUCCUCUGACGUUAGCGGCGGACGGGUGAGUAACACGUGGAUAACCUACCUAUAAGACUGGGAUAACUUCGGGAAACCGGAGCUAAUACCGGAUAAUAUAUUGAACCGCAUGGUUCAAUAGUGAAAGACGGUUUUGCUGUCACUUAUAGAUGGAUCCGCGCCGCAUUAGCUAGUUGGUAAGGUAACGGCUUACCAAGGCGACGAUGUGUAGCCGACCUGAGAGGGUGAUCGGCCACACUGGAACUGAGACACGGUCCAGACUCCUACGGGAGGCAGCAGUAGGGAAUCUUCCGCAAUGGGCGAAAGCCUGACGGAGCAACGCCGCGUGAGUGAUGAAGGUCUUCGGAUCGUAAAACUCUGUUAUUAGGGAAGAACAAAUGUGUAAGUAACUAUGCACGUCUUGACGGUACCUAACCAGAAAGCCACGGCUAACUACGUG